CCAGAGGGAAAUGUCUUUUCUUCCUUUUCUAGGGUCCCAUUAGCAUCCCGAAGCCAUGCCACUCCAGUCCCCUUCCAGCAGCAGUCAGACCACACCUGAAGAGUCGCUGAGUUCAGCCCUGGGGGCCGCAUUUCUGCAAGAACACGCCAAGCUAGAGAGCUGCGAUUAGCGACCAGCAUGAUGAAGGGCCUCAGGGCCCUGCCAGAUGAGGACAGAGCCAAGGAACUGGACACGUUUUAUCUGGAGAAAAUGAGCGGAAAUGGGAGACGGAGAGCGGUCUUCAAGGGCCUUAAGAUCUAUUACCUGGAGGACUUAGAUUCUUUCGACGUGGCUGCAGCGGGCAGAAAAGGAAUAGCUGUCUCCUGCUCCUUGAGGACCCCUCCUCUCCCGUCUGUCACAGAAUGACAAAGAGGUCAAUUCAAAUGCCUCCCGAAUGGCCUGCCUGCCACAGCCACAUGCCGAGAAGGCUGUUUCCCAUACCCAGCAUGCCCUCCCUCAUCACUUCCUCCUCCUUGAACCCUCGACUUCCUUCAUUCUUCAGCUCCAAUGUCACCCUCUAUAGGAAGCUUAUCCUGAUUCCCUCAGAUGCUAGAGACAAACCCUGGAAAUUAUUUUGUCUAUGGUCUGUAUUUCAUUUUCUAUGAACGUGUUUCCC